GGAGGAAGUAGGGGAUCGCAAGACCUUGCGCUUUUGGAGCGGCCGAUGUCUGAUUAGCUUGUUGGUAAGGUAAAAGCUUACCAAGGCUUCGAUCAGUAGCUGGUCUGAGAGGACGACCAGCCACACUGGGACUGAGACACGGCCCAGACUCCUACGGGAGGCAGCAGUGGGGAAUUUUGGACAAUGGGGGCAACCCUGAUCCAGCCAUGCCGCGUGAGUGAAGAAGGCCUUCGGGUUGUAAAGCUCUUUCAGCCGGAACGAAACGGUUACGGUUAAUACCCGUGACUACUGACGGUACCGGAAGAAGAAGCACCGGCUAACUACGUGCCAGCAGCCGCGGUAAUACGUAGGGUGCGAGCGUUAAUCAAAAUUACUAGACGUAAAGCGUGCGCAGGUGGUUUUGUAAGUCAGAUGUGAAAUCCCCGGGCUCAACCUGGGAACUGCGUUUGAAACUACAAAGCUAG
rnacentral:rRNA from 1 species